GCGGGCGGGAAAGAGCGCUUUUAUUAGUUCAAAACCAGUCGGGUUCUGCCCGUCCUUUGGUGACUCUGGAUAACUUUGUGCCGAUCGCAUGGCCUCGAGCCGGCGACGCAUCUUUCAAAUGUCUGCCCUAUCAAAUGACGAUGGU
rnacentral:rRNA from 1 species